rnacentral:rRNA from 1 species
AACGAACGCUGGCGGCAUGCCUAACACAUGCAAGUCGAACGAGACCUUCGGAUCUAGUGGCGCACGGGUGCGUAACGCGUGGGAACCUGCCUUUAGGUUCGGAAUAACUCAGAGAAAUUUGAGCUAAUACCGGAUGAUGUCUUCGGACCAAAGAUUUAUCGCCUUUAGAUGGGCCCGCGUUGGAUUAGCUAGUUGGUGGGGUAAAGGCCUACCAAGGCGACGAUCCAUAGCUGGUCUGAGAGGAUGAUCAGCCACACUGGGACUGAGACACGGCCCAGACUCCUACGGGAGGCAGCAGUGGGGAAUAUUGGACAAUGGGAGAAAGCCUGAUCAAGCAAUGCCGGGGGAGUGAUGAAGGCCUUAGGGUUGUAAAGCUCUUUUACCCGAGAUGAUAAUGACAGUAGCGGGAGAAUAAGCUCCGGCUAACUCCGUG